rnacentral:rRNA from 1 species
CCCGGUGAUUCCAUCUGCACCGGGGUUCUGAUGGCGGUGCUUCGUGUGGCAGCACUGGACAGCGGCAAGAAGGAAGAGAUCGGGCCACCCGCGACGCCAGGCCGCCGGCCCUCCUCCCUCAAGCUCAAGGCGGUGAAGAGAUGGUUGAGAUGGUGUUGCAGCUCCGCAGCGCUGGACAGCGGCAAGAAGGAAGAGCUCGGGCCACCCGCGAUGCCAGGCCGCCGGCCCUCCUUCCUCAAGCUCAAGGCGGCGAAGAGAUGGUUGAGAUGGUGUUGCAGCUCCGCAGGUUGGAGAGGAAACUGAAAGUGCAUCUGCUGAGGAUCCAAAGAACAUGCUUCCUGACCCCUCUAAGACCAAAAGAACAGGCAAUGCCUCCAAGGGAGUUUGCGCACCAAAGAAAGCGAGGCAGUAGUUCUUCCAUGGAGCACUUCUUCCAUGCCGUUAUCUAGAUAUGUACAUACAGUAUCUUCUAUAUUCUGCUUGCUUAUCAAGCGAAGUCGACGCUGGAAGGGUAUCAUGCUGACCAUUUAAUUGAAUUUCUCUUACAGAAACCAAUAUUAAUUUAUUCAGAGAACAUCCUUAUUUUUAUUUGUGAGAUAAUUAAAAAAGAUGUUUAUCUUUCCGAGCGACAUUGGACAUCCUAUAAUUUUGAGCACCGCCUCGAAGCAACCAGAAAUAGUUUCUGGUAGACUUUGGUCAAUGUAUCCUGGCCUGCAUGCUUUGGUGGUUACGAAAACAGCCACCUUUUGUUUCGCAUCAAUGAGACCAAUAUCUUUCUCCUUUCGGAGAACUCCGAGCAAGCUAUAUAUAAACUUUAGUCUUCCCCUGCUGCUUCUAUGGUGAAAAGUACUGUACUGUGUAAUGUAGUCUAUCAUCUUUAGAUUAUAUUGUUCUCUUUGUAGUGAAAAGCGGUUUAUCACCGCUUAUUGUAUAUAUAUGUGAAGAACUCUUCUGCUACUGUUUCCUGAAAACUAUGACUCAAGAAACAAGCUUCC